GCGAGUGGCGGACGGGUGAGGAAUACAUCGGAAUCUACCUUUUCGUGGGGGAUAACGUAGGGAAACUUACGCUAAUACCGCAUACGACCUUCGGGUGAAAGCAGGGGACCUUCGGGCCUUGCGCGGAUAGAUGAGCCGAUGUCGGAUUAGCUAGUUGGCGGGGUAAAGGCCCACCAAGGCGACGAUCCGUAGCUGGUCUGAGAGGAUGAUCAGCCACACUGGAACUGAGACACGGUCCAGACUCCUACGGGAGGCAGCAGUGGGGAAUAUUGGACAAUGGGCGCAAGCCUGAUCCAGCCAUACCGCGUGGGUGAAGAAGGCCUUCGGGUUGUAAAGCCCUUUUGUUGGGAAAGAAAAGCAGUCGAUUAAUACUCGGUUGUUCUGACGGUACCCAAAGAAUAAGCACCGGCUAACUUCGUGCCAGCAGCCGCGGUAAUACGAAGGGUGCAAGCGUUACUCGGAAUUACUGGGCGUAAAGCGUGCGUAGGUGGUUGUUUAAGUCUGUUGUGAAAGCCCUGGGCUCAACCUGGGAAUUGCAGUGGAUACUGGGCGACUAGAGUGUGGUAGAGGGUAGUGGAAUUCCCGGUGUAGCAGUGAAAUGCGUAGAG
rnacentral:rRNA from 1 species